AGUCUGCUGUGAUGAGCUGCACAUUCUGUCCGUGUUUCACCUGAUUAACCCUGAUUAUGUGAAUGCACUGAGCAGAUU